AAUGAUGAGCCUGACUAAAGGACUAUCGUGAUAGGAUAAAACAUGUAGAACGAUCUACCUUCAUUA
rnacentral:tRNA from 1 species